AUGUCCUUGGAAAAUCCACAGAUGGAUAUAAGACGGGCAAAUAACACAGAGAUCAUGUUGACGAAAAUCAAAAUGCCACUCUCCGAAAUGAUGAGUGCUGCUCUGGCCUUGGACGAUUCAGUUUUAGACGCUGAUCAGGUUGAAAAUCUCAUAAAGUUUUGCCCAACAAAAGAGGAAAUGGAGCUUCUAAAGAACUUUACAGGAGACAAGGAAACUCUUGGAAAGUGUGAACAGUUCUUUCUAGAAUUGAUGAAGGUGCCGAGGAUUGAAUCUAAGUUUAGGAUAUUUGCUUUCAAGAUUCAGUUUCAGACACAGAUUAGGGAUGUUAGAAAGAAUUUGCUGACCGUGGCAUCGGCUUGUGAGGAGCUCAGAGGCUCUGAGAAGCUGAAGGUGAUCAUGAAGAACAUUCUGUUAAUUGGGAACACAUUAAAUGAAGGGACACCAAGAGGCCAGGCUGUUGGUUUCCGCUUGGAUAGUAUCCUAAAACUUGUAGAGACCCGUGCAACCAGCAGUAGAACAACACUAAUGCACUUUCUUUGCAAGUCCCUUGCAGGAAAGUCACCAGAACUACUGGAUUUUCAUGAGGAUUUAGUUAGCUUGGAAGCUGCUUCGAAGUUGCAAUUGAAAGCAUUGGCGGAGGAACAGCAGGCAGUUGUAAAAGGGCUAGAGAAAGUUGAACAGGAACUAACUGCUUCAGAAAGUGAUGGGCCAGUUUCUGAUGUUUUUCGGAAGACUUUAAAGGAGUUCCUUGAUGAUUCUGGUGCUGAUGUACGUGCCCUAUCAGCACUCUACGCUGAUGUAGGUAGAAGUGCAGAUGCACUUUCCCUUUAUUUUGGAGAAGACCCUGCAAAAUACCCUUUUGAGCAAGGUAAUUUCCAUGCCAAAUUAUCAAUUGAAUCAGUCUAUGUGAGAUGGUUCUGA
rnacentral:rRNA from 1 species